GAUGAACGCUGGCGGCGUGCCUAAUACAUGCAAGUCGAGCGAACAGACGAGGAGCUUGCUCCUCUGACGUUAGCGGCGGACGGGUGAGUAACACGUGGAUAACCUACCUGUAAGACUGGGAUAACUUCGGGAAACCGGAGCUAAUACCGGAUAAUAUAUUGAACCGCAUGGUUCAAUAGUGAAAUACGGUUUUGCUGUCACUUAUAGAUGGAUCCGCGCCGCAUUAGAUAGUUGUUGAGGUAACGGCUUACCAAGGCAACGAUGCGUAGCCGACCUGAGAGGGUGAUCGGCCACACGGGAACGGAGACACGGACCAGACUCCUACGGGAGGCAGCAGUAGGGAAUCGUCGGCAAUAGGGGAAAGCCUGACGGAGCAACGCCGCGUGAGUGAUGAAGGUCCUCGGAGCGUAAAAAUCUGUUACUAGGGAAGAACAAAUGUGUAAGUAACUAUGCACGUCUUGACGGUACCUAAUAAGAAAGCCACGGCUAACUACGUG
rnacentral:rRNA from 1 species